ACAAAUUCAAACUCUAUUAUAAAGUUACUCUAUUUUAGAAUAAAAAAAAUAAAGUAAGCCAUUGGAGAUGGUCUUAUAACCCUUUUUGUUUUAACUAAAACUGAAACAGAAAAGCGAAAUAAAUCUUAGUAUCAUCAGCUUGAGCUAAAACAAACCGUACCCCAGUUUAUCAAUCUUAACAGUAAACCCCCAAUAUGAAAAUCGUGAAAAACAAAAAUCAAACCGUAAACCAUGUUGAUCAUCUCAGUUAACCGAUACAGUAAAAGGAAAUAUAAAUUUACUAUUACCGAAUGAACUUUAAUCUUUAGACUUUAACAUAAAUAUCUAGCUAAAUGACUCACUAAUAUUAUUGAGAGACUUGAGAGCCAUUCCACACAUUAUCUUGCAGCAUGAUUGUCUUUUGAUAUGGCCGUUGAUUGCUUGCUUCUUCAAAAUCUUCUUCAUUUCCAUUAAGGGAAUACAUUAACAAAAUAUUUUUUUUCUUGUAAAAGCUUAUGUUGCUGGUCAUGGUUUAUGGGAUAUGAAUCAUGUGAUGUUUGUAAACGUAAAUGCGACCACUCGUGCUGCCAAUUGUUUUUCUGUUCGUGUUGCCAAAUGUUUUGUGUCGAUAAAGACAAGGAGUGCAUCCUUCGUUGUGUUGGCACCCGACUUUGCAAGGAUAAAGCCACCUGUAACCCCUCAGUGUGCAUUAGCAUUAUGUUAACAUGUCUAUGUUUUAAUUAUUUAUGUGUUGACACCAAUGACAUGCAUGGUUUCUUUUGGUGGCCGUGGCUUACAUUUAUUUAGUGCAUGGUAUCUAAUAAAGUUUAAAUGAAAUGUGAAUUUACUUUAAUUAGUAAACUCUUAGAUAAAUCCCAAAUUUGUUAAUUCCACAUUUGUAAUGUAUCAAUCACUUGCAUCCAUAUAUUGCUCAUAGUCUUCAUUGCUAAAAAAUAUAUUAUUAAUCUCAUGAUUAACUUCAAUCUCUUAACUGAGAUUCUUAGCUUUUCUUAGAUUUUAAUUAAGAAAAUCUAAGAAUCAUCUUUUAAAUAAAAGAUAUAAGAGUCGUCUUUUAGCCGAAAAAUAUAAAAAAAAAGUCAAAUUAUGAGUUAAUAACCCUCGUUAAAAAAUCGAAAUUGAUCAUGCUCUUACACUAUCAACGUUAUAGAAUGACCUUUAUACGAGUCUAUUUUUUAAUUACAUGUCAUGCCAUUAUAUUUUAGCCCAACUAAUAUGGGCUUACAUGUCAUAUUUCCAUGUCACUGCCUGAACCAAGGGAUGAUAAGUCGGAAUCUGCGCUAAGCUUAAACCAUGAGUUAACUCCAAAGGUUAUUAUGGAAAAAUACAGUAGGGCAAAUUCUAGAAAUUCUCUAUUUUUUAAACAAUAUUAGUAAAAUAAAUUAGAAAUACUAUUAGGUCAUUUCCAACUCCACUCCAUAUUUUAUUCCAAAAUUGAGAAAAUGGAGUGGGAAAUGGAGUAAUGAACAAAAAAUAAAAGGAUUACUCCAUUUAUAGAGUGAUGCUUUUAUUUUUUGUUCAUCACUCCAUUUCCCACUCCAUUUUCCCAAUUUUGGAGUAAAAUAUGGAGUGGGGUUGGAGAUGCUCUUAGGCUUUGACAAGCUAGCGAAUGAACAAUAAAAACGAAGAGAUAAUAAUAUCAUUUUAAUUGAAAGACACAAGUACGAAGGCUCUCUCUCUCUCUCUCUCUCUUCUCUUUAGAGAGAGGAUUCUCUCUCUUUCUGUCCCUGUUCUCAGAUUUCUACUUUUCACAGGGAGAAAGAGAGACUUGCCUUAUGUUUUUUGUUUUAAAAUAUUUUCUUCGAUCUAUAGAUCGAUUUCCUUGUUUUGCUUAGGCGAUUUUACUUCCGGUUAGCAGAAUAGUUUUCGUUUGGCGAUCAAUUUGGUUCGUUAGGCGACUUUUGAUGUGUUCUAAAGCUUUUCCUUCUUUGAUUUCAUUUGUAUUCCGUAAGAUCUCUGAAGAUUUUAUCUCACUUUGUUAGAAAGCUUUGUUCUUGAUUCUGGAUAGGAAUCAAUCUUCGCCUCAGCUCAAGUGGAGUUUCCCAAAAAAUCAAGACCAAAGAUGUGUAUAAGGUCGGACGUUUUGAAGCAGUUCCAGAUGAGGCGGAGCUUCCCGUUUAGGAAAGUGUUCCGGCAAGGUGUUGUGUUCGAUUCUCUCUGAAGCUUUUCUUGGAUAAAUCUCUAGUAAGUGAUGAAGAAUUCUUAGUGAAUCAAUGGCGAUUAGAAGAAGGAGCGGCGUGCAAGCACUACAAACGAGGCGAGAAGGGAGUUUGAUGGUUCCUCGUCCGGUGAUGAGCUCCGGCGGCGCAAGGCGAGGCCACGCAAGCACAACGUGUCGAACAUGCGGGAAUCCUAAUCUUCUGUGUUCGGGCUUCGUAAUGGACCGAAUGUAUUAAUCUUAGGUUUGUAUGCUUGUAAUCUUAGCCUGUUGGGCUUUAAUAAAAUGAAGUUGACAAAAAAAAAAAAAAAAAAAAUUGAAAGACACAAAGGGAGGCGUUUAGGACACUCGACAAAGUCGACAUGAGUUAAUACGUGUCUGAAAACUUUCCUAAAACGCACCGUUUAGCAUUUUUUUUUGUUCCUGCUCUCUCGUUACCAAAACAAAAUAUCCAAACAACAUAAAAACGGAGUAAAAAUAAAUUAAAAGAAAAAGAAAAAACGUUCAGUGUCUCCGGCCAGCUACACAGGAAGACAUUAGAAUCAAAUUAGGUAUACGACUGGUUGGAGAGAUAAGCCAUGGGAAGGAGAAAAGUGGAGAUCAAACGAAUUGAGAACAAAAGCAGUCGACAAGUCACUUUUUGUAAACGACGCAAUGGCCUCAUGAAGAAAGCUCGCCAGCUCUCAAUUCUCUGUGAAUCCUCCGUCGCUCUUCUCAUAGUUUCCUCCACCGGAAAACUCUAUAGCUCCUCCUCGGGCGAUAGGUAACACUAUUUUGUUAAAUUUUGUCGAGAACAUAGAAACUAAAAACCUAGGGUUUUUUCUUUUCCCCUUGUAUCUUCAAGGCCGAUCUUGUUGCUUUGUUCAUCUAUGUGUAGAUUCAACUUCAUUUAAAACUAAACAAUGUGGUGGCUAAAGAUUAUCUUGAUGUUCGUUUUGUUUUGUUUUCAUUUUUAUUGUUUUAGUGUGUUUGCAGGAAUUUUUUUUGUGUGGUGAAUAUAUUAUUUGCAUGCGCUUAAAGAGAUUUUGCUACACGUGGUGAUCUUUACUUUAUGUUUGUCUAUUGAGAUUUCAAGUUGUCUUCGUUAUGUGUUGCUACUAGAGUUAUAUAAGAACGAAACGUACAUUGUUUAAUUUUAAAUUAAUAUUGGCUCAUUAUCCUCUUAAUCACCGAAUUCAAUUCCAUUAAUGCUAUGUAUCGAGAAUCUUUAGAUUGGAACGGUGCCACUUUUUGUUAUUGCAAUUUGUUACAAGUGUACAUUCCAGAUGACUUAUUAGUUUAUAUUUUUGUUAAUUUGAUGCUUAUAAGUAAAAUGUUUUUGGUUGAUUUUGAUGGUCAAAUGUAGUGCUGUGAUCAACUAGAAAGAGUACUAAAAUAGAGCUUUCACACAUGCUAAAUUACUCCACUUCCUCGAAUCUCGUUUUUUUUCUUGUCACCGAUAACUCACACACGCACACUCCCGCACUUGAACUUGAAUUUGAAUUAUAACACAACGGUAUCACUAGAACAACCAACUAGGCUAGCAGAGCUCAGCCUCAUGUCAUCGAUUUUUUCCUUCUUUACUUGUGAUAUUUGUGUGCAUAGAGCAACUGACAAGAUACAUGUGUACAUUGUUGACUAGAUUUUUUUUUUUUUACAUCUCUUCUCCUUUGCCAUUGGGCCUGAUGGCCUAGAGGAACUGAGCCUCUACAAUCAUUUGGUUACAUACAUUUUACCUUGUGUUUUUCGUUUAUGACAUUUCCUAGGUGAUUACAAUGAACCAAACUGUGAUCUUUUAGGAAUGGGAAUAUUAUCCUUGUCACUGUAUAUAACGCUCCUUAACGUUGCCUUGAUAUCAAUACCACAAAUUCUUGAUCUAUAUCAUGAAAGUAUAUAUGUUACACUGGCAGCUAACAUGCACGGAAUUUGAAGAACUAAGAAUGGAACUUUUUAUUUUUUUUGCUUCAAUUUUAACAAUAGUUAAAACUCUAGUUGUAGAUAGGAUCCUUCUACUAACUAGUAACUUAUAUAAUUAAAAGACUUGACUUGAGAUUGUGAUUCUCUUUUUUGUCAACUGAGAUUGUGAUUCUUAUGCGCCUUACUAAUUGCAUAGUUUCAAAUUAUAUUUUUUAUGGGCCGUAGGAUGCUAGAAGAUCAAGUCCAUCAAAUUCACUCUAUGAAUUGAACUCUUGCAAUAGAUCAUGGACAUCACAAAUUAAGUAGGGUGGAGUUUGUGAUAAGAUGUAGGUUUUUUUUUCCUUUGAAACACAGAUAUAGGUAUCAAUCAAAAUCUUACAUGGAAAAAAAAAUUAUUGUAUUUAUAGACCUACGAACAUGAAUUUCAUUGAGAUUUCGUUUUAAGGGGGAGUUUAGUUUUCAAUAUGUCUAUCCAGUUAUUCUUUCCGCGAUUGCUGUUAGGUUUCUUAGAAUAACAAAAAGUUUAUCAUUCAACUUUGAUAAGAAAGUAUGAGGUAUUAACUAGACUUGAUUAACAUAACUUGUUAUUGUGCAUAUAUAUGUCCAUAAGUCUGAAUUCAGUGGCUGAAAGGUUGAUUAUAUAUAACCAAAAUUUUGAGAUGGACUUAGUGGUUAUUAGAUUUGUAUAUUGCAAAGUUAUAAAUAAAUAAAUAGAGACCAGAACUUUGAGAUGGAUAUUGUGGUUAUUAUAUUUGCUUUUUUGCAAAGUUAUAAAUAAAUAGAGUUAUACAUUUACUUUUUAAGAAAUAAUUUUUUACAUAUAUGCAUUGACAUUAAAAUUUAAGACGAGAUUAUGUACCAGAAAGUUAAAAAAGAAGUCUGUUAUAGCACAUGAAUCUGUCAUACAAAAAAAACUAUUAGAUGUGUUCCUAACACUUUGUAUAGAAGCCGUAAGUAAGGUUCAUCACCAGAAACUGUAGAAUAAAGUGUUAGUAGAAUAUUUGAUGAUUCAUCUAAUUAACUUGUCUCUAAUAUAUUUGUUUUGUAUUUUUGAAAUGGUUUGGCAUGAGUAGUAUCUAAUACUUUCUCUUUCUUGAUUUGACUGCAGCAUGGCUAAGAUCCUCACGCGUUAUAAAACACAACAUGCUGACGAACUUAAAACGGUGGUAAGAAUUUCUUAGCCACACACGCAUAUGUAGUUGAGAUGAGCCUUUAGAAGAUAGUUUAUAUCGAGAGGGUAAACUGCUAUAUGUGAAUACUUUGUGUAGUUCUUUAACAUAUUAUAGACUUCGUUCUUCUCUGUUGAUAUUGCAGUAAAAAGCCUACCGCAAGGUUUUCAGUUUGUUGUAUACCAAACUUUAUUCUCGAGGGUUAGACCUAUAUCUUGUCAGCCAUACAUAGAUUCAUUGCUCCCAAAGUCAUGUACGACACAUGUAAUUGAGAUGAGCACAUAGAAUCGUAUCUAGCUACAAUAGUCCACUGAGAUGUUUUGUGUAGUGCCUAAACAUUGUUUAGGGAGAACAACACAGGUAACAAAUAAUUUAAUACUAAAGAUUCAAGCCAUACAAUACUGCUAGUGUUGCAUUACAUGGUCUACGGGACGGUUGUGAACCACUUGUGGUGUACCAAACUUAACUGUUGAAGACCACAAGAAAUUCACAAUAUUUUUUAUCGUUCCGUAUUAGUAUUAGGUAAAUAUUAAUGGGUCUUAAUCUCUACAUAAUCCUAGUACUAGAUAUUAAUUGGCUCUAUUAGGAUUAGACCUUAAUGGGUCAUAGACCUUAAUCUAUAGUUAAUCCUAAUAUUAGAUAUUAAUGGGUCACCUAAUCCUAAUAAUCCUCCAUUUCUUUUUUAUGGCAGGAUCUAGCAGAAAAAACUCGGAAUUAUCUUUCACACGAGGAGUUACUGGAAAUAGUCCAAUGGUUAGCACUAUCCUUUUUCCCCUUCACCCAGGGGCGGUCCUGGGCACAGCGGACUGAAACACCGGCUUAGGGCCCCCAAAUUUUUUUAAAAAAUUUACAUAAGAAGGGGCCCCUAAAUUUGUAAAAAAAAUUUUUUUUAUAAAACCCUUACUAAAUUGUUUUAGGCCCCCAGCAUCUCAGGGACGGCCCUGCCUUCACCUUCUGGAAAAAUAGUUUGAUAAAAAAACUCUUCUAUUUUUGUUGGUUUAUAAGUAUCUAUAUAUAUGUGCAGCAAGCUUGAAGAAGCAAAAAAUGAUAACAUGAGUAUAGAGUCCCUAAUUUCCCUGGAAGAGCAAUUCAAGAGUGCUCUGUCUUUAACUAGAGCUAGGAAGGUAUUUGUGCUGCUAAGAAGUGAUUCAGAUCAAUUAUUGUUAAUCUUGUGUUUACUUUUCAUUCCAAGAACAGUCUUUGGACACUUCUUGGCUUUGGAUCAUGUUUCCAGUUUGACAUAAUCCUUGAUCUCAUGUUGCAGGCAGAGCUAAUGAUGGAGUUUCUGAAGACCCUUCAAGAAAAGGUUAACGGUCUUGAUUUUUGUUCGCCGUCCUGGCCACUGUAGUUUUCCCAUCCUCGAGAGUAUUCAGAUCACUAGACAGACCAAGUUUAGCUCUCUAGAUAUGUAUAUUGGUCUUGUCUUAGUUCCUGACUUACUAUUGGCUUCACUUAAACAUUAACAAAUCUUACGAUAUAUUGGUGUUUCAGAACAUGUUAAGAAAACUGAUGGAGUUGUGAUGUUGUUUAAACAGGAGAAGCUGUUGAGGGAAGAGAACAAGGUUUUGGCUAGCCAGCUUACAAAGGUACCAUCUAUUAUGCUUCUAGAAGCUAAUAGUUAAUACUUAAUAGACAUGUAGAUGGACAUCAGAUAGAUGCCCCUACAGAGUACAGACUUGCAUAUACUUCAUAUAUACAUAUAUAUGAAAGCUAGGGGAGCUUGUGGAUGCUAGAAUUUUUUUUAGUGAACACAUGGUUCGAUUUUUUAUAACUUUUACGAGGUUUAAAAACUAGAUUUUUUUUUUGUUAAUAUUUAGUAGCAUGCCGAAAAAUAUGUAAGAGUGUUUAUUACAGAUAAAGUUAGGACUUUGAUGGGUAGUACCUACUUUUUUAUUCUAUUUCUAGUAGGUUCCAUUCUAUAUAUUUCUAUUACUAUCAUACCACACAAUUUCUAGAGAGAUUAAAUUUAGAAAACUUACAAAAAGAAAUACCAUGGUUUUUUUUUGUUCUAAGGAAAUACCAUUCUUAUAAUGAAGAUUUCUUGUUAAUAACUAGGAAAAAACUGUAAGUUUCUUACAGAUGAUGCAUGAAAGCUAAGAACUUUGAUGACUACAUAAUUUCUUUAAACCAUGCUUUUAAAUCUAGAUAUUUCUUGUUAGGUAAUAAUAUUUAGUAUCUCCAGAAAAAGAAGUGUAAGCGAGUUUCUUACAGAUGAAGAAGAGCAGGUUUCUGGAAGCAGAAGAUGAGAGAGCAAUGUCACUGGCAAAAAGUUUCGGUAACAACACACCGGAGACUCUCUCGCUUCUCAAGUAACAACCACCAUCAAUCAACGUACGACUGAUUUUUCACCAUCCUGUUUCAGAAAUAAAAAUGUAAAAUAUUCAGAUUUGUAAAUCAACAUGGAGGCUAUACAUAUCUUAAAAUCAUCUUCCCCCUGAUACGCUAUCCAAGGGAAAUGUAACGAUCUGUGUUGUUACCUUCAAAGCGAGGGUCACAGUUUCAUUUGUUAUCUGUGUGCUUG
rnacentral:lncRNA from 1 species